AUUGAACGCUGGCGGCAGGCCUAACACAUGCAAGUCGAACGAGUGGCGGACGGGUGAGUAAUGUCUGGGAAACUGCCUGAUGGAGGGGGAUAACUACUGGAAACGGUAGCUAAUACCGCAUACCCUCAGAUGUGCCCAGAUGGGAGUUGCUAGUUGGUGGGGUAACGGCUCACCAAGGCGACGAUCCCUAGCUGGUCUGAGAGGAUGACCAGCCACCGUGGAACGGGUACACGGUCCAGACUCCUACGGGAGGCAGCAGUGGGGAAUAUUGCACAAUGGGCGCAAGCCUGAUGCAGCCAUGCCUGGUGUAUGAAGAAGGCAUUAGGGUUGUAAAGUACUUUCAGCGGGGAGGCGUUACCCGCAGAAGAAGCACCGGCUAACUCCGUGCCAGCAGCCGCGGUAAUUG
rnacentral:rRNA from 1 species